rnacentral:rRNA from 1 species
AUUUUCCGGUUGAUCCUGCCGGAGGUUACUGCUAUUGAGGCUCGACUAAGCCAUGCGAGUCGAAUGUAGCAAUACAUGGCGAACUGCUCAGUAACACGUGGACAACCUGCCCUUAGGUUGGGUAUAAACCCGGGAAACUGGGUAUAAUACCCGAUAGGUCUCGAUUGCUGGAAUGCAUCGAGAUUUAAAGCUCCGGCGCCUAAGGAUGGGUCUGCGGCCUAUCAGGUAGUAGUGGGUGUAGCGUACCUACUAGCCUACGACGGGUACGGGUUGUGAGAGCAAGAGCCCGGAGAUGGAUUCUGAGACACGAAUCCAGGCCCUACGGGGUGCAGCAGGCGCGAAAACUUUACAAUGCUGGCAACAGCGAUAAGGGAACCUCGAGUGCCAGGUUACAAAUCUGGCUGUCGAGAUGCCUAAAAAGCAUUUCAUAGCAAGGGCCGGGCAAGACCGGUGCCAGCCGCCGCGGUAACACCGGCGGCUCGAGUGGUAACCGUUAUUAUUGGGUCUAAAGGGUCUGUAGCCGGCCGGAUAAGUCUCUUGAGAAAUCUGGCAGCUUAACUGUCAGGCUUUCAGGAGAUACUGUCUGGCUCGAGGCCGGGAGAGGUGAGAGGUACUUCAGGGGUAGGGGUGAAAUCUUGUAAUCGUUGAAGGACCACCAGUGGCGAAGGCGUCUCACCAGAACGGACCUGACGGCAAGGGACGAAAGCUAGGGGCACGAACCGGAUUAGAUACCCGGGUAGUCCUAGCCGUAAACGAUAGUGGGAUAGGUGUCGGCCACGGUGCGACCGUUGUCGGUGCCGUAGGGAAGCCGUGAAGCGAGCCACCUGGGAAGUACGGCCGCAAGGCUGAAACUUAAAGGAAUUGGCGGGGGAGCACCACACACGGGUGACCUUGCGGUUUAAUUGGAUUCAACGCCGGGAAU